rnacentral:rRNA from 1 species
AUACGAAGGGGGCAAGCGUUGUGCGGAAUAACUGGGCGUAAAGCGCACGUAGGCGGAAUGUUAAGUUAGAGGUGAAAUCCCAGGGCUCAACCCUGGAACUGCCUUUAAUACUGGCAAUCUAGAGACCGAGAGAGGUGAGUGGAAUUCCGAGUGUAGAGGUGAAAUUCGUAGAUAGUCGGAGGAACACCAGUGGCGAAGGCGGCUCACUGGCUCGGUACUGACGCUGAGGUGCGAAAGCGUGGGGAGCAAACAGGAGUAGAAACCCUAGUAGUCC